rnacentral:lncRNA from 1 species
UUUGUUUUACCCAAGACACGCUUUAAAGGGAAUUUCCACAGUAUGAAUCAUAAACUACUUUUCCUGGCACUUAUGACACAGUUAUUAGCCAUAAUGAAACAAAACCACUUCUUAGCUUAUCCAUUGUCUCAGCUAUCCAGACUACUUGCUCAGACUCCAGACUUACCAUUUUCAAAUCCAGUUUCCAGAUUUUGGAACAACAAGGAAGUUUUUUUACCUCCCUGCCUGCCAUCUGAUACCUCCAGGGAAGGAAUUGUACUUGAUCAACACAUCAAAGAGCUACUCAACACAGCUCACACACUGUCAUGGACCCAGAGGGACAGCCUUCCAUCUUCAGCUUCCUCUGUGAAAAAUGAAGUUUAUUUCCUACCUGUGGGGACUUUUUACCAUCUUAUACCAUCUACACUUUCCCCAGAGCCUGGUGAAGGGACUUUGAUCCCAAAAGCUUGCAGAAAAGGACAACUUGCCACUUUCCAGUUGGUCUAAUAAAAGGUAUCAUUUUCAAACCAAGAGUUCUAGUUUUUUGUAUGCCUAGGUUGACCCCUGGCUUUCCAAUUUGAAAAGU